GACGAACGCUGGCGGCGUGCUUAACACAUGCAAGUCGAACGGAAAGGCCCUGCUUUUGUGGGGUGCUCGAGUGGCGAACGGGUGAGUAACACGUGAGUAACCUGCCCUUGACUUUGGGAUAACUUCAGGAAACUGGGGCUAAUACCGGAUAGGAGCUCCUGCUGCAUGGUGGGGGUUGGAAAGUUUCGGCGGUUGGGGAUGGACUCGCGGCUUAUCAGCUUGUUGGUGGGGUAGUGGCUUACCAAGGCUUUGACGGGUAGCCGGCCUGAGAGGGUGACCGGCCAAAAUGGGACUGGGAUACGGCCCAGAAUCCUACGGGAGGCAGGAGGGGGGAAUAAUUCAACAUGGGCGGAAGCCUGAGUCAGGAAAGCCGGGGGCGGGAUGACGGCCUUUGGGUUGUAAACCGCUUUCGCCUGUGACGAAGCGUGAGUGACGGUAAUGGGUAAAGAAGCACCGGCUAACUACGUG
rnacentral:rRNA from 1 species